UACGUAGGGGGCGAGCGUUGUCCGGAUUUAUUGGGCGUAAAGAGCGUGUAGGCGGCCAGGUAGGUCUGCUGUGAAAACUCGAGGCUCAACCUCGAGACGUCGGCGGAAACCAUCUGGCUAGAGUCCGGAAGAGGAGAGUGGAAUUCCUGGUGUAGCGGUGAAAUGCGCAGAUAUCAGGAAGAACACCCGUGGCGAAGGCGGCUCUCUGGGACGGUACUGACGCUGAGACGCGAAAGCGCGGGGAGCGAACGGG
rnacentral:rRNA from 1 species